UAUUAGAACGGUUCUGAUGCCCAUUUUGUUUUAUUCAUAUUCUUCAUCCAUAAUCGCUGGUUACAUGGUUAUACGUGACAGUCCUAACUCUCUGUCUCCCUCUGUCUUGCAAUCUCUCUCUCUUACUUCCCAUCUAUCUCUCUCUCUCUCUUACUUCCCAUUUCGCUCUAGCGCUCUCUCACUUCCCAUCUCUCUCUCUCUCUUUCAUUCCCAUCUCUUUCACUCUCUCUCUCUCUCUCUCUGUCGUUCAUUCCCAUCUCUCUCUCUCUCUUUCACUUCCCAUCUCUUUCGCUCUCUCUCUCUCUUUCAUUCCCAUCUCUCUCUGUUACUUCCCAUCUCUCUUUCUCUCUCUCUCUCACUUUCAUUCCCAUCUCUAUCUCUGUUACUUCCCAUCUCUCUCUCUCUCUCUUUCAUUCCCAUCUCUAUCUCUUUCACUUCCCAUCUCUCUCUCUCUCUCUUUCAUUCCCAUCUCUAUCUCUGUUACUUUCCAUCUCUCUCUCUCUCUCUUUCAUUCCCAUCUCUAUCUCUGUUACUUCCCAUCUCUCUUUUUCUCUCUCUCUCUCUUUCACUUCCCAUCUCUCUUACAUCGCUCUCUCUCACAUCUCGCUCUCUCUCACUUACCUCUCUCUCUCUUUCAUUCCCAUCUCUCUCUCUUUCAGUCCCAUCUCCCUCUCUCUCUCUCUCUCUUUCACGUCCCAUUUCUCUCUCUCUCUUACAUAUCUUUCUCCCUUACAUCUCUCGCUCUCUCUCUCACACAUUUCGCUCUCUCAAAUACCUCUCUCUCUCGCUCUCUCUCGACAGUGUAAAUCAGCUGUACUGAGUGGUGAUUAGCAGACACACAGAGUAAAGGUGAAAGUCCUGCCACCCCUGUCAUCUCCUCUUACAGUGAUAUAUAAACCUCUGUUACAGAUAGUGUCCGGUGUGUGUGUGUGUGUGUGUACUGAAGUCCUGUCAUAUACUCUCUCAGUGAUCUACACACCUCUAGUUGCCAUAUCACACAAAGCUUCAAGUUUCUCGGCGUGCACAGUGGACCCUCUCACUUUGCCUCUUCCUCUCUGGUUUUGUCAACAAAAUUAAUUUAUGUGUAUUUGUUCUGAGAAGUA
rnacentral:lncRNA from 1 species